GGAGCUGCUGUUUGGUGACUGAUCCUGGCUUGAGAGAAUUGUUACGUUAUUCUGUCCAAAUCAGGGGAAGUGGUAGCGGCGCAGCGGCUAAGACACCGGGCUUGUCUACUGGAAAGCCAGCAGCCCAGGUUCGAGACCUGAGCAUCACACAACCGGGGAUGCUAGUGAAAUAGGACACUCAAAAGAGGCUACGAAAUGAAGUGUAAGAUAGAGCACGGAUGCCACAGAUGAAGAUGCUUCUGAAAAGGGUGGCUGGAGGAGAAUGCCUACUUAAAAGCGAAUUGUGUGAAAGCAAAAGGCUAAAAGCACCGCUUGCAAAAGAAGUGUUUGUUGAAUUUGCAGAAUCCAAAAAAGCACGUUGCUCCAGCUUGAGGGGACGGGAGGAAAGUACAGCGUGCUCUAGAAACAACUGACAUAGUUACUCGUGGGAGUUAGGAAAAGUAAAACCUCAGAAGGGAA